AAACAGAAAUGUAGAAUGACAGUCGCUCAAUCUGUUGCAAGCAAUGACUUUCAAACAGCAAGUGCUAAAGAAGCCAAACACGCAGAAUUACAAGUCCAACGCUGAAACUGCUGGAAAAGAACAGUGAAAAAGAUACAGGUCUUCAUUCUUGAUGGGAUUCAGAAACUGAACUACUGUGUCUUCACAGACAAAUAAUCCAAAAUCAGCCUAAGAGUGUGGAGUAAACAGCAUCAAGCCUCUCUUUAAUAGGGAACUCAUCUAUAAAAACAAACACUUGUUAUACUUUUAUGAAUUAUCAAGUUGUACAACACACAGCAAUAAGGAUUUAGACAAACAAUCACAGAUUUUAUUAAUUUUAUUGUUGUGUCUAAUAUAUAUAUAGAAACAACUUGUGUUGUAAAAGAAAGGAUGACAGCAUAUCUCUUUAUCACGUGCCAGUAUAGGCCCUGACUGCACGUGAGAACAUUUGAAUUAUCUGGCACGAGGCCUCACACGUCAUACUUCAACUGACACAACGGUCUCGAUGGUAGGAAUAAGCAAAAGCUCCUUUAAAUUUCGUCAUUUUUUUUAUACACAUCCCGUUUAUUUUGUAGUUAAUUGUUAGAUAAGUUAGUAAUUUCGUAAAUUUUUCGUUACAGGGUAAGAUUUCGUUACCAUAUACAGUAAAUAUUGGUUCAAGAGGGCAGUUUGAUAACUCAGUCGAGGUUUGUAAAUGGUAAAUAACUUAUUCGAGGUUUGUAGCCAUAUUUAAGUAACUCGCUUACUUUGUUUCAGUGUUUGAGUAAAUGUAUAAUGUUAUUAAGUAAUAAUUAAUAUAAGUUACUGCGCGAGCUCAUUACGGCCGUUUCUCAAUCCGAAGGCUACUGGAGGUGGCAUAUGUAGGCUGUAUACGUCAUCAAGACUGUCAGAUUUAAGAAUAUUAACAAUUCUAAAGUUGACUAUUAUUCUUAGUUAAUCGUAAAUUGUUGUAAUAUGCGUAUGACUUGCGAAUGUAAUGCUCAUUUAACUUAAAUAAACCAGGCUUGAUGACGUAUGCAGCCUGCAUAUGCGACCUCCGCAGGAUGCAGCCUUCCGUUUCAGAAAUGGCCUACAAGUGUGAGCGUGCGCGAGAUUCUGUCUGAAUUGAUUCUUUAGUAAUGGCAAAGCAAAAAUUUACUGUCGUGGUGAUUAAACGCAUUUUAAAGUUUAAAUUAAAACGCCUAACUUACCUUUCCAGGGGUUUCUGUUCCUGCAGUCUUUCAGGGGUGCUGGCGCGUAUGACGAUGCGGACAUGAACAGCAUACUACAGUAUACCGCCACCUACUGUACUGUAGUACAAUAACGUGUAGGAUUGAAUACUGUGCCAAACGCAGUAAAAAAAAAAAAGCCAUUUAAUUCAUUGUAAAAACAAUGGACAUGCCAGUUCAAGUAACUUGUGGGCUAAAUCACCAAAAUAAGUUUGUAGAUGUGGUUCAAUUAUUUUUAAUGUGCAGCAUAAUGAAUCAGCCUGAAUGCAUGUAGCCUGUGAACAUAUUGUUUAGACUUUAUUUUUAAACCUUUAUCUGGUGUAUGGUUAAACCUUAUGAUGGUAGCAAUUGAAUACAAAUCUUAAACUGAAUCAAAUCUCUUAUAAUAAUACAUAAAAUCUCUGGGACGGUUGGGGGUACAUCAGGGUAACAUUUAAGCAGCUUAAUUUUUUUAAUUCUUUUAUAUAUUUUGAUGUGUAUAUAUAUAUAUUUACUUUCUUUAUUUUGUUUUCUCAGCUUUUAAACAUCUAAACAUGUCCUCCAAAAAGGUUUCCUGUGCUGUUUUGCUCCAUUUUACUGAACAAAAUAAGGCUGAGGUAGCACCAUCCUUGUGGUUAGAGUGAAAGAAUGUGGGUAUUGAGACCAAAAUAAACAAUGUGCCAUUCUGGACAAACAGCUGUGGACAAUAUGCAGUCAGAGUAGCCCAUUUUCUCACACAGACCUGAGGAUAAGAUUUCCAGUUUGAAAGUGAAGAAAAUGAAUCAUUGUUAACAGCAAAUAGGAGUAUUUCUCAGCUGAAAAGCCAGGUGAAACUAUAAGGUCACUAUGAUUCACUUUCAUAUUAUCAUUCUUUUCAGAUUUUUUUCCCUGUGUUUUUUUUGUUAGAUGAGGAGCAACCAGUAAGAAAAAGCAAAAAGAUGUUUUGAUGUUGCCUGAGGCACCUUAUUUUCCAUUUCAUGCACAAUCACAAAUGCAGCACAUCAAUCAAUUUCUUCCAACCAGCGAAUCAAGAAAUCUUGGAGUGGAGAAUCAUUUUGAAAGUAGACCAAAUCCAGGACAACAUCACAACAGUGGUCGGAAAAAUGCAGCAAGCCAAGCUGACUUUCAAAAGAUGAUUCGUUAUCUGUUUCUUCAGAGGGGAGGCAGUUUGGGAGAUGGGAAUUAGGAGGAUGCUACAGUUACACAGGGCAAAUUUCAGCAGCUCAGUUUCAAACUUGCAACUAACAUUGAGUUAAAGUUAGAAGACCACGGAAAUAUUUGACAUCGGAGUCCAGCAGACAGCCAGAGACACGCAGACACACGCAGCUGAAGCGCGUUUGACUGACGCGUACGGGAGAUCCGGCACGCGCACGGGAGCUCGCGCACGAGAGCUCGCGCACGCUCACACAAACACGGAGCACAGGAUAAUUACAACUGUUUAAUUAAAAUAAAAGAACUUUGUGGUAUACAAUGUUUAGCGUGUCUGAUUUCAUUGGUUAGCAAGGAAAUAAAACGACGUGCUGAGGACUUUAGGCGAACGUCCCCUAAAAGUCCCGAAAGUCCGCUGACCGUCCCGCGAACGUCCUCGCAAAAGUCCGGAGGACGUCCUCGCGGAAGUCCGCUCGACGUAACGGGAACCAUACACGAUGACGUUCGGGGGACGUUCGCCUAAAGUGCUUAGCAUGUUAUUUAGCUUACAAAAAAGGUCCCCAUGACGUCCCCUAAAAGUCAAUAAAGUCCCCAAAGCGUCAUUUUGAACGUCCGGAAGACGUUUUUGCGGACGUUCGCAGGACGUCAAAAGAACCCUACACGAUAACGUCCGGGGGACGUUCGCAGAUGCCAUUUAGGGGACGUCCUGGGGACCUUUUUUUGUUUGCU